rnacentral:rRNA from 1 species
CGGCACGGGUGAGUAACACGUAUCCAACCUGCCGUCUACUCUUGGACAGCCUUCUGAAAGGAAGAUUAAUCCAAGAUGGCAUCAUGAGUCCACAUGUUCACAUGAUUAAAGGUAUUCCGGUAGACGAUGGGGAUGCGUUCCAUUAGAUAGUAGGCGGGGUAACGGCCCACCUAGUCUUCGAUGGAUAGGGGUUCUGAGAGGAAGGUCCCCCACAUUGGAACUGAGACACGGUCCAA